GGAUGUGAGGGCGAUUUGGCUGUGGCAUCUGGCACCCCAUUGAUCACCAGAGUUGAUUUGGCUGACCUGGCUGGCUAGGCAGGUGUCCCUUUCCUCCCUCGCCUCUCCAUGUGCGUCCCUCCCGAAGAUGCAUGGUUGAUCAAAAAGGACGAUGAUCCCCGAUAGAGGAGGACCACUUCCUCAGUCAAGGGUAUAUGAGUAGCUGCACUCCCCUGCUAGAACCUUCAAAUAAGCUCUCAAGAAAAAGAAUAGUAGAAGUCAUGCUUGAGAG
rnacentral:snRNA from 1 species